ACGGGUGAGUAAUACAUCGGAACGUGCCCUGUCGUGGGGGAUAACUAGUCGAAAGAUUAGCUAAUACCGCAUACGACCUGAGGGUGAAAGCGGGGGACCGCAAGGCCUCGCGCGAUAGGAGCGGCCGAUGUCUGAUUAGCUAGUUGGUGGGGUAAAGGCCCACCAAGGCGACGAUCAGUAGCUGGUCUGAGAGGACGAUCAGCCACACUGGGACUGAGACACGGCCCAGACUCCUACGGGAGGCAGCAGUGGGGAAUUUUGGACAAUGGGGGCAACCCUGAUCCAGCAAUGCCGCGUGUGUGAAGAAGGCCUUCGGGUUGUAAAGCACUUUUGUCCGGAAAGAAAUCCCCUGCUCUAAUACAGCGGGGGGAUGACGGUACCGGAAGAAUAAGCACCGGCUAACUACGUGCCAGCAGCCGCGGUAAUACGUAGGGUGCGAGCGUUAAUCGGAAUUACUGGGCGUAAAGCGUGCGCAGGCGGUUUUGUAAGACAGGCGUGAAAUCCCCGAGCUCAACUUGGGAAUGGCGCUUGUGACUGCAAGGCUAGAGUAUGUCAGAGGGGGGUAGAAUUCCACGU
rnacentral:rRNA from 1 species